rnacentral:piRNA from 1 species
UAAACGUUGAGUCUUGCCAGGGGAAAUGGUU